rnacentral:rRNA from 1 species
GUGGGGAAUUUUGGACAAUGGGCGCAAGCCUGAUCCAGCAAUGCCGCGUGCAGGAAGAAGGCCUUCGGGUUGUAAACUGCUUUUGUACGGAACGAAACGGUCCGGGUUAAUACCCUGGGCUAAUGACGGUACCGUAAGAAUAAGCACCGGCUAACUACGUGCCAGCAGCCGCGGUAAUACGUAGGGUGCAAGCGUUAAUCGGAAUUACUGGGCGUAAAGCGUGCGCAGGCGGUUUUGUAAGACAGGCGUGAAAUCCCCGGGCUCAACCUGGGAGUUGCGCUUGUGACUGCAAGGCUGGAGUGCGGCAGAGGGGGAUGGAAUUCCGCGUGUAGCAGUGAAAUGCGUAGAUAUGCGGAGGAACACCGAUGGCGAAGGCAAUCCCCUGGGCCUGCACUGACGCUCAUGCACGAAAGCGUGGGGAGCAAACAGGAUUAGAAACCCCGGUAGUCC